UAGGCAGGAAAAAGGUAUGUUCUUGGUAAGCUAUAGUAUUCCAUUCUUAAUUUACUCACUUCAAUGCAUAGUUUUGUUAGUUCUUCCAUUAGUUUCUAUUGAAGUAUGCUCAAUGGGAUAGGGUUUAGAAAGUUAUAUGCAUAAUGGGAGAUUACUUGAUUUGCUAAUCCUUAUCUGGUUAGCGAUUCCUCACAAACUCAAGCGAUAAUAUGCACAUGUUUCUUCGUGUCGUACUUUAAUCUAUGCGUGUUGAUUAAGAGAUUCUUGGUCUUCAGUUUUUAUGUACAACUCAAGUGACCAAAUUGUAUUAGAUUCUUUUCCCUCACAAACUGCAGUCUUGGUGCCUUCCUGUUGAAAAAAAAGAAAUGGGGGCAUGGGGCACAUUAUGCAGUCAGAACCUAGCUGUUACUAUACAACCAUGAACAUAAUUCUGGGAGGUAACACGUGGUCGUUCUUAGUAACAGUAUGUUGGAAUUGUAGGAUAUGGCUCUCAUUUUGUUUGGUGUUGGAAUAGUAGGUUGCUCGCGGGUGACUUCUCAGGUGUCACGGCGCUUGCAUUGUAGAUUGGUAGAGGGAAUAUUGAGACAACGAGGAGAGGCGACUUAACUGCAGUCCGCACAACACCAUGAACCAGGUAGUACUAACUUGCCACUGCCACAUUUGCUCACUCAUUUCUUUCUUAUGCAUACAAUUUCCAUUUUUAAAUAUUUUAUUUAGUUUUUUCUCUACUUAUGUUGCAUUUUAUGUAAUGCAUAUGAAACUUUAAUACAUUGACAAGUGUGAACUAUGGUUCUCUGUAGAAUGUGAACUUCUGGACUCCUCUCAUAAUUAUCAACAUUUUCAUAUGUUGUAACCUCUUAUGGGCUGAUAUUCUGCAAACACCAUAGAACUUGAUAGGAUAAAGAUUUAUCACUCGAGUUCAAUCUUCGUGAAAUACUCACUCUGUCUGAAAAUAUUAUGUCUUAUAUUUUGAGAUGGUGGGAGUAUAUGAUAUGUGAGAAUGAGAAAAGAGUCGAACUGACACUACAUGUCCUUGAGAAAAUUGAGAACCUCUACUUGCCAAUUGCUAAAUAAAUCUGUAAAACACUUCCUUCAUCAUUCGGUACAUGUUCCCUGUAGUAGAUUGGAUGGAGAAAAUAUUGCUUUGGAUUUUGUUAUCGAUAUGAAACUUCAAUGCAUUAUCACUUUUCAGAGGUGAAGCAACUUUCGGUAUUUUGUGACAGCACAAUCUGUUCUUCUAUUUCCUAAUCUUGGUUGUUCACUUGCUUUUAGUCACAGGGUAAAGAGGUCAAUCUCUUCCAACACACAAUUGUUGAGGUAUGUAUCAAUGUCUAAAGUUUAAAAAAGAACCAGGUUACACCAUAUGGUUUAGGGCGUGUUCGGCAGUCCACCAGCUCCUGGCUCCUUCAACUCCACGGGUGGGGCUGAGCCGAACGCGCUAACUCCUGGAGUUGUAAACGAGAAGCCAACGAUUUGUGUAGUGCAAAAAACGAGGACUUGUGGAGUCAAGAAAACCAAGCUCCACCGAACAGAGAAGUGAGAGUUCAAGGAUAUUACACCCCCUGCCACCGCCAAGUGACUCGCUGCGAACCGGUACGAGGAAACAACACGAGCGGACAGCCAUAUGAGGCCAGCCUCCGACCAGGCCCAGCCAUUUAGACAGCCCACUAUUCCUUUUCCCAGAUCAAAGCCCAAUAAAGCUAGCCACCGACCAGGCCCAGCCUUUUACAAAGCUCAUGACUAGAAGCUAACGCACCGAACGGAUUGGUCACUCCAGGAUUUGACGCGAGAAGCCGGCUGCUGGCUGGCGGCGAUGGAGUUGGGGAGUUAGCAGCUGUGGUGGACUACCGAACACGCCAUUAGGUUGCUCACCUUGGUUGCUGACCAGGUGUUGAAAAAUCUUAGUGAGAGAGGACAUUGACGGUGCGAGAAUGGAACAUAACGAGUUUGUGUGUGUGUGUGUGUGUGCAUUACCGAAACGUUGCACGACAUGUGAGUCUACAUCUAACUUCCUUUCAGCUUUCUAUUGGAAAUAAUUCUUUAGAAAUUUUCACUUGGACACUUAUCCUCUCUUUGUUUAUCGUUUCAUAGGACUAAGAAAAAGUUCAUCUGUGUGUAACUACCAGGUUCUUGAAGUCCGCCCUCUCAUUGAUUGGAACAGGGUGAAAGUUGUGGAAUUUUUGCUGUGACCGCCUGGACUACGAUGACAGGGCUGACAAAGAUGAAGCCAAGGGAAGCCGUGCCUCUGAUAUUCUAACAUGUGAAAUCCAUAAGACAAUUCUUUCGAGUUGCGACCUACAUUGUGGUGUCUCCGUUCAUCAAUUUCUGAGCACCAGCUCCAGUGAAAUUAGGUGUUCAUCCAUCCAUACUCCUAGGUGGCUUUCUUUGGCCUGCUUCUUAUUGUGUAUUUAGUGGUUAUGCACAAGCCUCAUCAUCUGAUAUUUCUGCAGUAAUUACUGAAAACAAUUUGAGGACAAAGCUUUGAUUGUUGUUGUAGUUGAAGAUUCAGAGUUGAAAGGCAGGCACAGUUAACAGGGAUAAGAAACUAUAGAAGAUUUAUCAACUCAGACAUGGGCUUGGUUAUGCAAUGAUUCAUUGGGAUCUGAGGUAAUCAGACCAUACACCCAAACUUAAAUUUUACUUGCUUUUAAAUGUUUAGGAGACAGAUGAUGUUUGAUAUGCUAGACUGAAGUACACACCUUUUAAUAGUAUAUCACUGAUACUCCAGUCACCAAUAAAAAUGGAAGUGCUGAAAAUUAGUUUGUAAGGAAACAAACUAAAUACUGAGUCCUAGCAAACCUACUGCCUAGAUUACACGAGCUCAUUUUAGCUCUAAGAUUUCUUUUUUAUCUCUUUUACAUUCUGGUAAACAUGUGGGUGAAUAACAGUUAGAAAUUGUUCUAUUUGUACACGGGAAUUCUAAUAGAAUUGAUGCUUGAAAGAAUAAAAACGUCUAUAAUAUUUGUAAGCCAGGCACUGAAAAAGCUCACUCCUCACACCAGAUCACCAUCGCCGACGUAUCUACUUUUCCGAAACAGAGUCCACAUGUUUACUCAUGUUCUCAGUUUUUUGUUGUUUCGGGGAAGGUUUGUUAGAAGCCAAUCUCUUCAGCAAGCCCUGGAGAAAGAGAGCUAGAUAUAGUGGUACUUGCUAGCGUUUUAAUGGACACCUCCUUUUGACCUUUUUUAGUUUCUUGAAUUAGCUAAGAGACUUCAAUGAGUGAGUAUUUUUUGGUCCCUCCCUUUUUCUGUGUCUUUUGGAGUUUUGCAUUGUGGUGAGAGGAGGAUAGAGAUACCCAAUUGCCAUGGGGACCAGAGAUCAGCUGAGGUCACAUAGUUUGUCUCGGCAUUACAAUGUGAGGUAAAGGAAGGAAAUAAAGCGAUGUUAGAAUAUUACAAUCAUAUAUCCAAACAUAUUUUAUGCAGUUGACCAAUGGUGUUGUUUCAUCGAUUUUUACUUCUCUAGAACCACCUGAUUUAUUGGCCCAAUGCCUCGGAACAUGCACAGUGAAGCAAACCAAAUCAAACUGUAGCUGCAUCUACAAAAAAAAAUCAUAUCGCUCUUGAUGUGGCAAGGUUUAUCAAGUUCAAUUACGCAGUACAUCAGGCAAAUCUGCAACCCCACAAACCAUGAAUGAUGCAGCAAAAGUUUGUAAUCCAAAAAUUGAUUGAGAUUUCUUAUUUUAGUUGGUUAGUUGCAUCAGUGACAUAUCUCUAGAGAUGUUGCAUAUUUUUGGACGAUUGUUGGAAAAUACCUUUAUGUUAUACCUUUCUACUAAAAUUUGUAUUAUUUUGCAAAGUAGGCUCUGCGCUAGGUGGGGUUGUCAUCCUCCAUUUUUAUGGCCAUGACAAAUGACAAUAUCAUGAUGCUAUUUAACUUUGACUUUUGUCAACAUAUGUUUUGAUGCUACUUCAAUUCUUUAGCGUAUCGCGAUGAGGCUGAUACUGUUGGUUGUACACUGAAGGUUGAAAAUGUUAACUGUUUUGAAUAGACUAUUUCAAUAUAUUGGCACAGAUUAGCAACAAUACUUACUAUGGUAAUUACAAUGCCAUAGAAUUUUUGAAUUAUUAGAAUAUUUUGCACUAUUGCACAUUAUUUAAUAAUCGGUGCAAUCUAAUGUUAAUCCACCUAAAUUUGUAAUAGCUAAAAUUUCUAACAUGCCUCACGUCUUCAUGUUUCUAGCUUCAAAUCCUUAAAAACAAAUUGUUCUACAACUUUCUAUCUUGCUAGAAUGGACUUGUUACCCAUAUAUGUGUAUCUACCUUAGAGCAAACUUUGCAUACUUAAAAAAUGUACCUUUUGUCCUCAGAAUCUAACUGCAUAUUUUGUUUAUGACGAUAAAUAAUUUCUGCCUGGAGCAGAAGGUUAUAGGGGUGGCCCAGAUAUCAUGGAGACUUGGAGAGGCGCCGUGCUCGGUCCAGUGAGGAGCUCCGGGUCAACACUGUGGCUGCGUGGUGGGCAUGAACCAUGGCGACUGCCUUCCGGCUUUAUUCUGUUGGCUCGUACAUUUUCCGCUGGCUAUUCUUACAGAAUCAUGAAUUAGACUUAGGAGAAUUGGCAUGUCAUCACAUGAAAAAUUUCAACUAUGAGAUGCUACAAGUAAACAUGGUGAAUUCACACUUUUAAACUGCCUGGUGAUUUUUUAAAUCUCAGGCAAUCAGAACAUAUGCAUUUUCUUUGUUUCUCAAUUCAUGUUUUGUCAUGGACUACAUGAGUUUCAUGUAUACCAGAAUGUUUCCAAACCUGUGAUUAACAAGUUCUUUUCCACUUCUAAAUUACAAAUAUCUUAUUGAUGCUACCAUAUUGGUGAGUGUACUUGAUGGCGAUAUUUUUUACCUCUUAAAUGUUGAAAUUUAGUUAAUAUUCCUAUAUGUUGAAAGUAGUAAUAGUCCUUAGUUUUCAUAGUGGUUCAUGAUCUUGGUGGUGCCUUUUUUUCUUUGUUCUACUAACAAAAAAG
rnacentral:lncRNA from 1 species